rnacentral:rRNA from 1 species
UACGAAGGGAGCUAGCGUUGUUCGGAAUCACUGGGCGUAAAGCGCACGUAGGCGGAUGUGUCAGUCAGGGGUGAAAUCCCGGAGCUCAACUUCGGAACUGCCUUUGAUACAGCACGACUUGAGUCCGAUAGAGGUGGGUGGAAUUCCUAGUGUAGAGGUGAAAUUCGUAGAUAUUAGGAAGAACACCGGUGGCGAAGGCGGCCCACUGGAUCGGUACUGACGCUGAGGUGCGAAAGCGUGGGGAGCAAACAGG